GACAGAGGAGCCAAGCGUUGUCCGGAUUGACUGGGCGUAAAGCGCACGCAGGCGGAUGCGCGCGUGGGGUGUGAAAUCUGGCCGCUUAACGGCCAGGCGCCAUCCCAUACGGCGCGUCUGGAGUGAUGCAGAGGUCGAUGGAAUUGCCGGUGUAGUGGUGAAAUGCGUAGAGAUCGGCAGGAACACCCAGGGGGAAACCAGCCGACUGGGCAAGUGCUGACGCUGAGGUGCGAGAGCGUGGGGAGCGAACCGG
rnacentral:rRNA from 1 species